rnacentral:lncRNA from 1 species
CACAUCAGAAACGACCUUGCCAGAGUGGUGACUGCUCUCUGAUCUGCUUCUGGGGCAGGACAGAAUUCUUGGUCCCAAGCAGUCCCUGUUUCAUGUACUUCAAGGCCAGUGGCAUUUGAACAGAAAGAGGGCAGUGGAGAAGAAAGAACUUUAGUGCCCAUUGAUUCACAGAAAAUAACAAGUGGAGUUUACUGCUUUGAUUUUGAACUAAAUCUUGCGGCUGUUUUCAUUGUGAUCCAAGACUUUGUUUAAUCAGAAGCUAUUGGAGCGAAAAUGUUCAUGUUGCAGAUUUCCUUUUUGACAAUGGUGCAUGGGAAGAGAAUUCUGAAAGAACUAGAAAAUAUGAUACCCACUGGAAGAAACUGAAACAAGGAACACCCAAUCCCACGUGCUAACCAAGUGGGGAUUCCUUUCUGAAGCUUUGUACUGUGCAAAGGAUACUUUUCUGGUGUGCCGAGAAGUUGUCUCUGGGACCGUCACACUUGGAAUUCCAGCAGAUUACCCUGUCAUCAAGUCAUCAGUAUGCUGCUAUUUGAAUAAACACAGCUGUUGUUUUCCAAGAAAUAUGGCUAGGAGCAGCAAGGAAAAAAGGGCAAUUAGUGUUAUUGAAAUGGUGGGGUACUCAGGGUGGUAUAUAUAUAUUUAUGAGAGUUUUCAUUUCCGAAUAGCUAUUUGCCAUGCUGUGACUGAGCGGUAGGGGGUGGGAGGGUGGGCAAAGGUGGUGGUAACAAGCCUUUCUGCAAAUCCUUGCUACUUUGCUACCUUCUGCGAUCUAAUAUUAAUUAUGAAUAAUUUUCAUAAUUAAAUACAUAUUUUAAUUCAUGCAA